CUACGGGAGGCUGCAGUGAGGAAUAUUGCACAAUGGGGGGAACCCUGAUGCAGCAACGCCGCGUGGAGGAUGACGCAUUUCGGUGCGUAAACUCCUUUUAUAUGUCAAGAAAAUGACGGUAGCAUAUGAAUAAGCACCGGCUAACUCCGUGCCAGCAGCCGCGGUAAUACGGAGGGUGCAAGCGUUACUCGGAAUCACUGGGCGUAAGGGACGCGUAGGCGGGUUGGAAAGUCAGGUGUGAAAUCCUACAGCUUAACUGUAGAACUGCACUUGAAACUUCUAAUCUAGAGUAUGGGAGGGGGAGAUGGAAUUAGUGGUGUAGGGGUAAAAUCCGUAGAUAUCACUAGGAAUACCUAAAGCGAAGGCGAUCUCCUGGAACAUUACUGACGCUAAGGCGUGAAAGCGUGGGGAGCAAACAGGAUUAGAUACCCGCGUAGUC
rnacentral:rRNA from 1 species